rnacentral:lncRNA from 1 species
ACACCUGGCUAAUUUUGUAUUUUUAGUAAAGACGGGGUUUCUCCAAGUUGGUCAGGCUGGUCUCGAGCUCCCGACCUCAGGUGAUCUGCUCACCUCAGCCUCCCAGCCUCCCAAACCGUGCCCGGCUGAGCCUCUUUUCUUAUGCGUGUUUUUCUUCUGCAUAUCUCCUUGGUAACGAGUCUGUUAGUCUUUGGCUCAAUUUUUAAUCAGGUUUAAGAGUUCUUAUUUUGCGUGUUGGCAAAUAUUUUCCUCACAGUUCGUGGCUUUCCUUCCUGUAUUCCUGACGUUAUCUUUCAUCGAGCAACAGCAGUUUUUUAUUCUAAUGAAGUUCAGUUUAUUAAUUAUUUCUUUCAUUGAUUGUACCUUUGAUGUUGUAUAUACAAAGUCAGCACUGUACCCAGUAUCAUCUACAUUUCCUCCUAUAUUAGCUUCCAGGAGUUAUAUCAUUUUGCAUUUUACACUUAUAUCUAUAAUUUAUCUGAGUUAAAUUUUGGAAGGGUAUAAGGUCUAUAAAUAUAUGUACAUAAAAUUUGUGUUAUGUGUUGUAUACUAGACAUCACACCGUAUUUUGAGUAGAUUAUCAUUUUUCUAUUGUAUUGCCUUUUCUCCUUCGAAAAGAUCAGUUGACUUUAUUUAUGUAGAUCUGUUUUGGGGCUCUUUAUUCUGCCCCAUUGAUCUAUUUGUCUAAUCUUUCAUCGAUAACACCCUGUCUUUAUUAUUAUAGCUUUAUAGGAAGGUUUAAAACCAGGUAGUAUCAGUACUCCAAUUUUGUUCUUUAGUGUUUUGUUGGCAAUUGUGGGUCUUCUUCCCUUCUAUACGAUGUUUGUCAAUACUGACAAAAUAACUUUCUGUGAUUUUGCCUGGGAUUGCAUU